UACGUAGGUGGCAAGCGUUGUCCGGAUUUAUUGGGCGUAAAGCGAGCGCAGGCGGUUCUGUAAGUCUGUUGUGAAAGACUUCGGCUCAACCGAAGAAGUGCAUUGGAAACUGGAAGGCUUGAGUGUGGAAGAGGACAGUGGAAUUCCAAGUGUAGCGGUGAAAUGCGUAGAUAUAUGGAAGAACACCAGUGGCGAAGGCGGCUGUCUGGUC
rnacentral:rRNA from 1 species